ensembl:misc_RNA 7SK 7SK RNA
GGAUGUGAGAGUGAUCUGGCUGCGACACCUGUCACCCCAUUGAUUGCCAGGGUUGAUUCGGCUGAUCUGGCUGGCUAGGCGGGUGUCCCCUUCCUCCCUCACCACUCCAUGUGCGUCCCCCCCAAAGCUGCCACUUGGUUGAAGAGGAUGGCCUUCCCCUAAUAGAGACAGACCGAUCUUCGGUUGAGGGUAUAUGAGUAGCUGCGCUCCCCUCCUAGAACCUCCAAACAAGCUCUCAAGAGAACAUCUUAGUGGAUUGUAUUCCAGAAUAUGGAAAUACUUUAUAUUGUUUAGCUGUCAGUUGUUAAUGUGUUAGUGCUAACCAGA